rnacentral:tRNA from 1 species
UUUCAGACUCAUAAUCUGAUUAUGCAGGUUCAACUCCUGCCUCUACCC